UAAUACGAAGGGUGCUAGCGUUGCUCGGAAUUACUGGGCGUAAAGCGUACGCAGGCGGGCUUUUAAGUCAGAUGUGAAAUCCCGAGGCUUAACCUCGGAACUGCAUUUGAAACUGGAAGCCUAGAGUAUGGGAGAGGAUAGUGGAAUUCCUAGUGUAGAGGUGAAAUUCGUAGAUAUUAGGAGGAACACCAGUGGCGAAGGCGACUAUCUGGACCAUAACUGACGCUCAUGUACGAAAGCGUGGGGAGCAAACAGG
rnacentral:rRNA from 1 species